rnacentral:rRNA from 1 species
UGGGGAAUAUUGCACAAUGGGCGCAAGCCUGAUGCAGCCAUGCCGCGUGUAUGAAGAAGGCCUUCGGGUUGUAAAGUACUUUCAGCGGGGAGGAAGGCGAUAAGGUUAAUAACCUUGUCGAUUUACGUUACCCGCAGAAGAAGCACCGGCUAACUCCGUGCCAGCAGCCGCGGUAAUACGGAGGGUGCAAGCGUUAAUCGGAAUUACUGGGCGUAAAGCGCACGCAGGCGGUCUGUCAAGUCGGAUGUGAAAUCCCCGGGCUCAACCUGGGAACUGCAUUCGAAACUGGCAGGCUAGAGUCUUGUAGAGGGGGGUAGAAUUCCAGGUGUAGCGGUGAAAUGCGUAGAGAUCUGGAGGAAUACCGGUGGCGAAGGCGGCCCCCUGGACAAAGACUGACGCUCAGGUGCGAAAGCGUGGGGAGCAAACA